rnacentral:rRNA from 1 species
UUAAACGGCCGCGGUAUUUUGACCGUGCAAAGGUAGCACAAUCACUUGUCUUUUAAAUGAAGACCUGUAUGAAUGGAGAAACGAGGGCUUAACUGUCUCCCCCCUCUAGUCAAUGAAAUUGAUCUAUCCGUGCAGAAGCGGGUAUAAUUAUACAAGACGAGAAGACCCUUUGGAGCUUAAGACAAAAGACCAACUAUGUCAAAAGCCACAAAAAUGGUACUAAACCAAGUAGUUCUGGUUCCAGUCUUCGGUUGGGGUGACCGCGGGAGAAAAUAAAGCUCCCAUGCGGACUGGGGGAGUUCCCCUAAAACUAAGAAAGACAUUUCUAAGGCACAGAACAUCUGACCAAAAAGAUCCGGCUUCAUGCCGAUCAACGGACCAAGUUACCCUAGGGAUAACAGCGCAAUCCCCUUCCAGAGUCCAUAUCGACAAGGGGGUUUACGACCUCGAUGUUGGAUCAGGACAUCCUAAUGGUGCAGCCGCUAUUAAGGGUUCGUUUG